rnacentral:rRNA from 1 species
CCUACGGGGGGCAGCAGUGGGGAAUUUUGGACAAUGGGCGCAAGCCUGAUCCAGCCAUGCCGCGUGUCUGAAGAAGGCCCUCGGGUUGUAAAGGACUUUAGUCUGGGAGCGAGUACCAGAAGAAUAAGCACCGGCUAACUACGUGCCAGCAGCCGCGGUAAUACGUAGGGUGCAAGCGUUAAUCGGAAUAACUGGGCGUAAAGGGUGAGUAGGCGGUAACGUAAGUCUGAAGUGAAAUCCCCGGGCUUAACCUGGGAACGGCCUUAGAUACUGCGUGACUAGAGUGCGUGAGAGGGGGGUAGAAUUCCGCGUGUAGCAGUGAAAUGCGUAGAGAUGCGGAGGAAUACCGAUGGCGAAGGCAGCCCCCUGGGAGAACUGACGCUGAAUCACGAAAGCGUGGGUAGCAAACAGGAUUAGAUACCCUUGUAGUC